UCUACGGGAGGCAGCAGUGGGGAAUAUUGCACAAUGGGCUAAAGCCUGAUGCAGCAACGCCGCGUGAAGGAAGAAGGUUUUCGGCUCGUAAACUUCUAUUAACAGGGACGAAAGAAAUGACGGUACCUGCAUAAGAAGCCCCGGCCAACUACGUGCCAGCAGCCGCGGUAAUACGUAGGGGGCAAGCGUUAUCCGGAAUUACUGGGUGUAAAGUGUGAGUAGGCGGCAGGGUAAGCCAGAUGGGAAAGCCUUGGGCUUAACCCGAGGAUUGCAUUUGGAACUAUCAAGCUAGAGUACAGGAGAGGAAAGCGGAAUUGCUGGUGUAGCGGUGAAAUGCGUAGAUAUUAGGAAGAA
rnacentral:rRNA from 1 species